CGCCCUGUGGCGCGUGGGAGUUGGAUUUGCAAGCGAGCUUAGGAGGGCAGCGGUAGUUCAGCAUUAGCAUAUAGCAUUAGCAUAUCCUAGUCUUUAGCAUAUCUUUUAGUGUUAUAAAUACUUAUUUAGUGUUAGCUUGGCUGUUGGAUAUUGUAGUUUAGUUAGUGUUUGGCUGUUAGCGUAAUUGGGAAAGUAUUUCGGUUUUAGUGUUCAUAUCGUCUUAGUAUUGGUGAGAUGGUGUAAUGUAGUAUGCUUGCGGUGACUCUGUGGGCAUUUUACCCGCGAUUCUGCACGUCUCCGUUUGAAGAGGGAGGCUGCCCACCGUGGCUCUUCCGCGAUUUAGAUGCAGCCCACCGACUCUGCUCCCCCACCACGGCGGGCUCCAGUCUGAGGCUAAAUCUACCCAAGACACUGGUUGUCAGACUGAUUUAGCUGCAAGAAUGCACUUGUCCAGGCUGAUGUGAAACCUUCCCUGUAGCAAAGCCAGUCAGAAUGGAGUUCACAGCCGCAGUGUGUCUGGUGACCCACGGUGACCAUGAUGAAAAUUCAUCUUCCAGAAAGUCCCAGAGCGUCCAGACCCCCUGAAAAGACCAAGAUGUAAGGUGUCUGCUGUUGAUUCCAGCUUCCACCUCAGUGACAGUGCAAGCUCAGUGAACUGUUCAAGCCUGGCUGAUCACCUGAUAACUCCUGUCAUCUGGUUAUGACAGCAUGAGGAUGUCCUCACACACCUGUAACCUAUCAGCUCAUCUGGCAGAAUAGAGAGAAGAGACAACACCACAUCUCCUGUUCCUGGAAAGCCUUCAGCCAUCCUUUGAUGACUGAGAACCUCCAUCAGCUCUGUCUCCUGUCUGCCUACAAUUAUUAUAAUAAAUAUUGUGUUUGACAAGUUUU